UGAUCCCAGCUUGCUGGGGGAUUAGUGGCGAACGGGUGAGUAACACGUGAGUAACCUGCCCUUGACUCUGGGAUAAGCCUGGGAAACUGGGUCUAAUACCGGAUACGACCAUCUGGCGCAUGUCAUGGUGGUGGAAAGCUUUUGUGGUUUUGGAUGGACUCGCGGCCUAUCAGCUUGUUGGUGGGGUAAUGGCCUACCAAGGCGACGACGGGUAGCCGGCCUGAGAGGGUGACCGGCCACACUGGGACUGAGACACGGCCCAGACUCCUACGGGAGGCAGCAGUGGGGAAUAUUGCACAAUGGGCGCAAGCCUGAUGCAGCGACGCCGCGUGAGGGAUGACGGCCUUCGGGUUGUAAACCUCUUUCAGUAGGGAAGAAGCGAAAGUGACGGUACCUGCAGAAGAAGCGCCGGCUAACUACGUGCCAGCMGCCGCGR
rnacentral:rRNA from 1 species